ACCAAAGCAGUGAAAUAUACCCUAAUUUACUGCAGUCUGUUCCCAGGCUAGGGGUGAAUCGAGCUGUAGCUGCCAGCCUACGCCAGAGCCACAGCAACGGGGAUCCGAGCCGCAUCUGCAACCUACACCACAGCUCGCAGCAACGCCGGAUUGUUAACCCACUGAGCAAGGCAGGGACCGAACCCGCAACCUCAUGGUUCCUAGUCGGAUUCGUUAACCACUGCGCCACGACUGGAACUCCUGCUGUCAUUUCUUGCUGGGUAUGUGCACCUGUCUCUUCCUGGUCCAGCCUCCUCAUAGAAGCCAGAGCCCUCCUGACACACAGGUUAGGUGAUGUGCAGUAUAAAUAUUUCACAAUAUUUAUUCUCAUGGAAUAAAACUCCUUCUUUAGCAAGGUGCCUGAGUUUUUGUUUCUGGCCCCUGCUUACCUCUCCAUCCUCUUCUCUCCAGUGCGGUUUUUGAUUUUUGACAUCCUGAACUUUCUGCCUGGAGUGUCCUUGUGUCACUUCUUUGCCUAAUUCCUUUUCAUCUUUUUUAGCAUAAGGAUAAGUCUUUAUGUAACUGUGUAAUUCUGGCAUGUAUAAGUUUAUGGAAUGUUUGGACAAACGUGGGAAUGAAUAAAUGAAUAAAUAAGUAUAAAGAAAAUGGAUUUCUAAAAAUUGUGGUAAAAUACAUGUAACACAAAAUUUACCAUCUUAACUAUUUUUUAGUGUAGAGUUCAGUGACAUUAAGUACAUUCACAUUUUUCUAUAACCAUCACCACCAUCCAUCUCCAGAAUGUUUUUUUCUUGUGGAAACUGAAACUUAGUACCCAUUAAAUGCUAACUCUUCAUUUCCCCCUCCCCCUAAACCCUGGCAGCUACCAUUCUACUUUGUUUCUACAAGUUUGACUACUCCAGAUUCUUCAUAUGAUGGAAUUAUACAGUAUUUGCCCUUUUGUGACAGGCUUGUUUCACUUAGCAUAAUGUCCUCAAAUUUCACCCAUUACAUUGUUGAGUAUGUCAGAAUUUCCUUGCUAUUUAAGGUCGAAUGAUAUUCCGUUGCACGUAUAGACCAUUAUUUUGUUUAUGCUUUCAUGUAUUGUUUGUACAAAGAUGUAAUUUGUAGCAUUGUUUGAAAUAGUGAAAGGUUGUAAGCCAUCUAAAAGUCAUGUGAGCAUUUCUGCUGGGCACAGUGGGUUAAGAAACCAUCAGUAGCAGCUUGGAUCACUGCAGAGGCACAAGUUCAAUGCCCGGCCUGGUGCAGUGAGUUAAAGGAUCUGGCGUUGCUGCAGCUGUGGUGGAGGUCACAGCUGUGGCUUGGAUUCAAUCUCUGGCCCAGGAACUUCCAUAGACUGCAGGUGUGGCCAUAAAAGUAAGUAAAUAAAAAUAAAUAAAUAUCCAUGUGUAGGGGAUUAGUGAUGUAAAAUAACCUUACAGUAGAAAACUGUGUAGCAGUGAUAAAGAAUGGGGCUUCCCAUCGUGGCUCAGUGGAAAGAAAUCUGACUCAUAUCCAUGAGGAUGCAGGUUCGAUUCCUGGCCUUGCCUUGCUUAGUGUGUUAAAGGAUCCAUUGUUGUGGUGAGCUGUGGUGUAAGUCGCAGACACGGCUUGGAUCUGGCGUUGCUGUGGCAUAGGCUGGCACCUGCACCUCCGUAGCCUGGGAACUUCCAUAUGCCUCGGGUGUGGCCCUAAAAAGGCCAAAAAAAAAAAAAA
rnacentral:lncRNA from 9 species